AAUAUUUUUUGGCUAUUAUAAGAUAAAUUAUUAUUUAUAAAAGAGGACUUUCAGUAAUAUUUAUUGAACUUAAAGAAAUACCUAUAGAAUUAGUACUGAGAAGGAAGUUAGAAUUAAGAUAAAGAAAAAGUUUAAAAAGAAAGUUGUAGGCUUUACCUUUUGUAUUAUGGAGAACUUAAUAAAUAAAGAAUUACUCUUUAUAAACGAAACAAAAUGAGCUAUUUUUUUCCCCAUGAUAGUAUGGCAGGUCUAAUUGUAGAAAAAAUAAGACCCGAGGAAGAGAUAGUGGUGAUAUGCUUAUCGAAUUUUGUGAUAGCUUUUUACUUAAGAAGUUAGUAUUAGCUAAAAAUGGAAAUCUUUCUAUGGAGAGCUUGUUGGUUGAUCAAGAAGCUCUUGGAGGAAAAACCUUUUUAUUUGAGAUAAGACAAUAAAUACUUUUUAAUGGUCUUGAGCAGUAAGAUUUUAGCAUCUAACUAUUAAGAGUGCGUUUGAGCAUCUCAUUUCGGUAAAUAAUUAAUUUUUGACUCAAAAGUUUUCUGUGCUCAUGAAAUUUUAUUAAGUAGUAGAAUAUUAAUCUAGUUAUAAUGGUUCUAUGAGUAAAAUUAGUUAGGCUUUUUUAUUAAAAGAAUCAGAGUAUUGAAGUGAUGAUUACUUUUAUAUUUUCUUAUUUUAGACUAAUAAUAAAAAUAAAAUAUAAGGAGAGGAACUCGGCAAAAUUCACUCUCGCCUGUUUACCUAAAACAUCACCCCCAGCAUUUAAUUGAGGGGCUAUGCCUGCCCGGUGAUAAUUUAUAUAUUAAACGGCUGCGGUACUCUGACCGUGCAAAGGUAGCAUAAUCAUUUGCCUAUUAAUUGUAGGCUGGAAUCAAUGGCUCGACGAGGAGAGUACUGUCUUUCUUUAUAUAGAUUGAAGUUAGUAUUUAGGUGAAGAAACCUAAAUGAUUAAAUGGGACGAGAAGACCCUAUUGAGCUUUAGUUUUUACUUUAAAAUAUUAAUAGAAAAAACUUUGGUUGGGGCAACUGGUCUUAAAAUAAGACAAGACUAUAAUUAUAAAGGCUUGAGUCAAUAAUUGACCCAUAUUUCAUGAUCAUUAGAAAAAGUUACCAUAGGGAUAACAGCGUAAUUUUUUUUGAGAGUACAUAUUGACAAGAAAGUUUGCGACCUCGAUGUUGGAUCAAGAAAACCUGAAGGUGUAGCCGCUUUCAAGGGUGGGUUCGUUCAACCUUUAAAAUCUUACGCGAUCUGAGUUCAGUCCGUCGUGAGACAGGACAGUUUCUAUCUAUUUUUAUAGAUCCUCUUUGUACGAAAGGAAUUUAGGAUUACUAACAAUGGCAAAAGCUAAUUUGCCGAAAAAAAUUGGAAAAAAUAAAACAAAUAAUUUGUA
rnacentral:rRNA from 1 species